CGGCCCAGACUCCUACGGGAGGCAGCAGUGGGGAAUAUUGCGCAAUGGGGGAAACCCUGACGCAGCGACGCCGCGUGGAGGAAGAAGGCCUUCGGGUUGUAAACUCCUUUGGCAGGGGAAGAAGAAGACGGUACCCUGAGAACAAGCCACGGCUAACUACGUGCCAGCAGCCGCGGUAAUACGUAGGU
rnacentral:rRNA from 1 species